rnacentral:rRNA from 1 species
UGGGAGCAUCCUGAUCCAGCCAUGCCGCGUGCAGGAAGACUGCCCUAUGGGUUGUAAACUGUUUUUAUACAGGAAGAAAAAGGUGUACGUGUACACUGUUGACGGUACUGUAAGAAUAAGGAUCGGCUAACUCCGUGCCAGCAGCCGCGGUAAUACGGAGGAUCCAAGCGUUAUCCGGAAUCAUUGGGUUUAAAGGGUCCGUAGGCGGGACAAUAAGUCAGUGGUGAAAGUCUGCAGCUCAACUGUAGAAUUGCCAUUGAUACUGUUGUUCUUGAGUGCUUGUGAAGUGGUUAGAAUGAGUAGUGUAGCGGUGAAAUGCAUAGAUAUUACUCAGAAUACCGAUUGCGAAGGCAGAUCACUAACAAUUCACUGACGCUGAUGGACGAAAGCGUAGGUAGCGAACAGGAUUAGAUACCCUGGUAGUCUACGCCGUAAACGAUGGUUACUAGCUGUUCGGACUAAUUGAGGUCUGAGUGGCUAAGCGAAAGUGAUAAGUAACCCACCUGGGGAGUACGUUCGCAAGAAUGAAACUCAAAGGAAUUGACGGGGGCCCGCACAAGCGGUGGAGCAUGUGGUUUAAUUCGAUGAUACGCGAGGAACCUUACCAGGGCUUAAAUGCAGUUUGACAGGGGUGGAAACACCUUUUCCUUCGGGCAAAUUGCAAGGUGCUGCAUGGUUGUCGUCAGCUCGUGCCGUGAGGUGUCAGGUUAAGUCCUAUAACGAGCGCAACCCCUUUGGUUAGUUACCAGCAUGUAAUGAUGGGGACUCUAGCCAUACUGCCAGUGUAAACUGUGAGGAAGGUGGGGAUGACGUCAAAUCAUCACGGCCCUUA